UACGGAGGGUGCAAGCGUUGUCCGGAUUUAUUGGGUUUAAAGGGUGCGUAGGCGGUUCUUUAAGUCAGCGGUGAAAAGUCCAGAGCUCAACUCUGGGAUUGCCAUUGAUACUGAAGAACUUGAGUAUAGUUGAGGUAGGCGGAAUUGACAGUGUAGCGGUGAAAUGCAUAGAUAUUGUCAAGAACACCGAUUGCGUAGGCAGCUUACUAGCUAUAACUGACGCUGAGGCACGAAAAGUGUGGGGGAUCAAAACAGGG
rnacentral:rRNA from 1 species